UCUUUACUAAUCAAGUUCAAGUUCAAGUUUAUUUAGAGUCCAAUAUCACUGUUCACAGUCUCAGAGGGCUUUACAUGCCGACAU